rnacentral:tRNA from 1 species
AGCCCCGGAGCCUUUUAGGGCUCAUCUUCAAAUUUGCAUUUUGACGUAAAAUACCUCAGGGCUAU